CGGAACGGGUGGAGCUUCUGGUGCAGUGGAUGUGGGCUUUCAGACCUGGAUCUCCUCUCUCCUCCUCACGUAAGUAACUAUUCUUCAUGCCCCAGGUCUCAGCACUCUCGGGAAACCUGCCCUGGCCCCUCUAGCCUACACCGGAAUCCCGCCCCCCACAACAACCAAGCACCUGCUUAACACUUGGGUUUUCCCCUCUCCAACUGAGUCAGAGCCUAUGGACUACUUGGCCUCCUCCCCACCUCCCAAUACACUAGAUGUCCCCUCAAGUACGGCCUGCCUUCUUUACCAUUUAUUUACUAGUGUUCUUCGCAAAACCAGAACAAGGUAGGUAUCUCUGUGGUGCUGGAAGAGCAAUGGUAACUGUCAGAGACCCAGGAAAGACGCCAUUUACACCCAGAGGUGCUACGGUGAGUGACAGGAGACUCAGCAGCAUUGUCACAUCACAGAGCAAACCCUGUCUGCUGGGCUUCCGGGCCCCGGAAGGUAGAAAUCACCGAUGACCUACUUGAUUGAGUGUGGAGCCCGUGGAGCUGGUGGGGGUGUCAGGGAGGUCCCUUCAGAUGCCCCCCAGGGUUCAGGGGUCUGCCUGUCCCAGGAACCGGCAGCAAUUCCAACACAUUCCUGAGCACGUAUUGCUAAGAUGAGUCCAAGUUCACGUUCCCAGUCAACCACGCCAGAGGUCUGUGCCAGCUACACUUGGUCUAGGAGGCCUGGGAUCACCAUCAGCCCAUUCUUCCUUGAGGCUCAGGAACAGUGUGGGAUGUUAGCCGAGUUGUGCUCAGAAACAACCCUCUCAUUGAUUAGGGCUGCUGAGAAUCCCAUCCUCUGCUCACCUGUCAAUUAAUCAAGCCUCUUCACUGUCACCCUGACCAUCCCUUCAGGGCUGGUCACUUUGGCUGCUCACAGAACCCAUGAGGACUGAGAAUUUCCCAGAUUCUCACAACAACUGAGCAGCCCUGCUUCCCCAGCCCUUUAGAACAUCUGGAACGUGCCCAGGUGUGCCCGGUGUGGCCUCCAUGGCCUGCCAGAGGAGUGGGCAGGGAAAGCACAAAGACUGAAGCAGACAAAGACUAAGCUUUGUUUCCGCCUCUUCUCCACCCUUCUUUUCCAUAUAAGAGUCUCAAAGCCAGAUCCAGAAGGAAAAGUCAGCAGCAUUUCACCAUUCAGUUCCUUUUCUUGGCCCCAGUGUGUGCCCCGGGGCCCUUUUGUCCUUUGGGCUGGGUGGAGUGCCUGGCUACACUCUGCGAAAAAGGUCAGGGUCAAGAUUCUGGGAGCAGCCCGUAGCACUAGAGGAACUCAUGUUUUCCAUUGUGCAUUAAAAUGUCCAUUUGCCUGCGGCUGAGCUUCCCCUCCGAAUCAAAUAGGUCAAUAAGGACCAAGGACAAAGCACAAAUAGGGCCUGGAAGCCAAGAGAUGUCGAUAAAAAUGGAGAUAAAUGGGCAUUUCAGAGCGGGCAGGCAGUGGGUGUGGGGCAUUGUCCCUUCUCUGGCUGGCAGUGCCUGGCCACUUUGUCUCCAAACAGUGCUUCCAUUUUGGAGAUGCCAGAUUGGUUUGGACCCGAAGCUUGACUGCUGUGGGGUGGGCUGAGGUGGGAGUGGGGAGGAUUCACACAGGAAAAAAAAAGCAUCCUCCUGGGUGACAAAUGUGUCAGUUCCUGCGUUUCUUGCUCCCUUACAAAGCCUUUCUAACGUGAAAAUCACCCCUUUUUGACUGUGUUAUUCUUCUUUCCCCUUAAGAAAAUAAGUUCCCAAUCUUAGGGGUUUUUAGCAGUGCAAAUGCUGGCAUUUCAGAGCUGCUUUAGUGUCUUCAGCUAGAUGUUUUAAGAGUCCAGUCUUCUCUUAUGAUUUCCUCUGCCCCUUGCUUCAUUUCAUGAAGAGCUCCAACUGAAAGAUCCCUGGAGCAGGAGUCAGGAGACGGGUUCUGCUCCCGAUCUACCGUCCUUCUGCCACUGUGACCUUGGGCAAGUAAUCAUCUCUGAGUCGGAAUUUCUAACAUUCUGUGACUAUGUAGAAUCACAGGGUCGGGGUGGGGGGGGCAGGGCAGAGUUAGUUCACCGGCUCACCAUGGAAUAAAUGUUUGAUUACGUAUUGGUGACCUCAUUCAUGCAUUCAUCAAAUAUGCCAGGGAGCGUGGCAGGCAUGAAGAUACAAAGUGAAAUAAGACCAGUCCCUGCCCAUGAACAGGCAGCAUAACAUGAUGGACAGAGCACAGAUUUUCUGAGGACAUAGCCAGCUACAUUUUUAUAACUUCGCUGAGCCUUGGCUUUCUCAUGUGCAUGAUGGGAUUAUUUUUUAGGUUGAGCACCCAUCCUGGUUUGCCUGAGACUGAAGGGUUUCCUGGGACACAGACCUUCUGGUGCUAAAACCUGGAAAGUCUCAGGCAUAUCAGGAUGAGAGAUGAACUGAAAUGGAAGAGCACUGUGCCCUGCAUCUAAUAGCUAUUCUGUAAACGUAAUCACACACAAACAUGCCCCUCACAACAUAGUAAAGGAAAAAUAAAAUGAAACAAAUAGGUGAGCACAAAAGUAAUUGUGGUUUUGGCAUUGUUGGAAUUUGCCAUUUGAUACGGGAGUACAUUUUUUUGAGAUGGGCUCUCCUUUUGUUACCCACGCUGGAGUGCAGUGGCAUGGUCUUGGCUCACUGCAACCUCCGCUCCUGGGUUUAGUCAAUUAUCCUGCCUCCGGCUCCC